rnacentral:rRNA from 1 species
UACGUAGGUGACAAGCGUUGUCCGGAAUUAUUGGGCGUAAAGAGCUCGUAGGCGGUUCGGCAAGUCGGAUGUGAAAUCUCCACGCUUAACGUGGAGGGGCCAUUCGAAACUGCUGUGACUCGAGUCCGGUAGGGGAGUGUGGAAUUCCCGGUGUAGCGGUGAAAUGCGCAGAUAUCGGGAGGAACACCAGUAGCGAAGGCGGCACUCUGGGCCGGUACUGACGCUGAGGAGCGAAAGCGUGGGGAGCGAACAGG